UCGUCAGGUGGGAUAAUCCUUACCUGUUCCUCUUUUUGGAGGGCAGAUAAAAACAAAUACCAAAUGUCUUCUUUGAU
rnacentral:snoRNA from 1 species